ensembl:lncRNA
CCAAACAGAAGGACAGGGGCUGGCACAGAUGGCUCACUCGGUGUCCCUGGGCUCCUAGCGACAGGAUGCAGAUUCGGGGCUGCCUGACGCCAAGAACUGGGCUUUCUCUCCCUCACCACACCACCGCUUGAGAAAGAACCCUGAGCACUGAAGCUUUUGAAAUACAAUGGUGGAGAAGACUCUUGAGAAUCCCUUGGACAGGAGGAAGAUCAAACCAGUGAAUCCUAAAAGAAAUCAAUCCUGAAUAUUCACUGUAAUGACUGAUGCUGAAACUCCAAUACUUUGGCCACAUGAUGUGAAGAGCCAACUCAUUGGAAAAAACCCCGAAUCUGGGAAAGAUUGAGGGCAGGAGGAGAAGGGGGCAAGAGAGGAUGAGAUGAUUGGAUGGCAUCACUGACUCAAUGGACAUGAAUUUUAACAAACUCUGGGAGAUAGUGAAGGACAGGGAAGCCUGGCGUGCUGCAGUCUGUGGGGUUGUAAGAGUUGGACAUGACUGAGGGACUAAACGGCAACAAACUCUUAUAUAGCUCAAAGGGCCUGGGAUCCUUUAACACAGAGAGAACAUUCCCCACACAUCAUUCAGAACAGCUUAAAAUGCCGGAAAUCAGUAGUUACCCAUUGCUGAGUGUGAUUCUUAUGUGUGUUUAGUUUUACUAGCCACCAUCCUGGGUCAGUAGGCACUUUAAAAUUUGUUGGUUUGUAGACAAAGCAAAUAAAACUCAUCUGUUUAUAACUGUUUUGAGAAUGAGAACUGGUGUAAGAUUUCCACUGGCAAAGUGUUUUAGAAGCCAGGUUGGGCCCUCUGUGGCUUUUCAUGGACUAUUUGUUGCCACAGACAGUUCACCUUAUGAUGAGCUGGGCCAAUACCCUCAAGAAGAAAAAGCAUGGACACCGUCCCCUUCUUUCUUCUGUUUCCUCCCCCUCUCCAUAAGGUGGGUGUUUACUUGACCUCAUUUCCACUGGCUAAAUAAGGAAGAGAAUUUAUACCUAAUUUAGUAGCUCAAAGAGGUUCCACUGCUCUUCGGAGAAAGACAAACUUCCUCUUUUUCAUCCAUGGAACUCUGCAUGUCCUGCCCUGUCUCCCCUCCAUUCUUACACUUGAUCUCUCUGUUUUAAUCACAUUGGCUUUCUCUUAGUCCCUCAUGGUUCCUACCAUCUUCUGCCACAGGACCUUUGCACACACUGUUCCCUCUGCCCAUAAUGACCUUUGCCUCUCAGUUCUCCAGGCACAUCAAGGAUGCAUUUCCCAAGCUCCCUGACUAGAUCAAAUCCCUCUUUAAAGGCUCUGCAAGUGCCACGUAAUUCUAGUCUUGGGUUUGCUGCUAUUCUAACACAUGUUGGUGUGUACAAUGAAUUUCUUUCUAUUCAUCUUCCUUGGUAGAUGAAAGUUUUGGACUAUACCCUACGUGCCUACAAGGGCUGUGCUUGCCCAACUUCAAGACGGAAGAGAGGGCCCAGAGUCAGCAACAGAGAUAUCAGUGGUCUAACUGAUGGGUAAGCUUACACCUCUGAAGCAGAGUCCUGGAGUGGCACCCCAUUGUGCAGGUUACGGUGGCAGGAUAUGGUGGCAGUCUUCACUCUCAGAGGGGAAGGGGAAGUUAACAAUUGUAGGGGAAUUGACGUCAGGUGGGCUAUUAUUCACCAGGGAAAUCAGUAGUGGGACAUGCCCCUCACUGCUCCAUUGAUAAGAACAAUCACUGGCUGGGACUUGGGGCAAAUAAGAAGGAAGGUCGGUCAGGUGAGUAGGGCAGAAGUGAAGCAGGCACUGGUCAAGCAGGGGAUAUGCAGAGAGCAACAGAGCAAGAGGGCAACCAUCUUGAGUGGCCUCAUCAUACAGGAGGUUAGACUGUAUCUGUUUUUAAUCACCUUGGCACCUAGGUUCUUGGCACAGUGUCUGGGACGUCAUAGGGGCUGACUUACUAUUUAUUGAAGGCACCAGGGUUUGACCUCUUCCAUCAUUGUUUUCUUACUGGAAGUUUUG